GAUAGAAGGAACAUCGAAUAUCUCUUUGAUCAUUAUUUUAAGAUCCAACUUAUUCUUUUUCCUGCUAGUUUGACCUUAACGCAUGCAACAAGUAUAUUCUGAAAAGAAAUGUAAAUAAAGAGGAAGCUUUACUCUGUGGAACAUUCGAUGCAAUGCUAUAACUGCAAAACAUGUUUGUCGAUCGACUAGAAUCGACCAUUUACUCGGAAGGCAUACCAAUUAAAGAGUACAGAGCGUCGUGGAAACGUACCAAUGAACUCCGCAUGAACAGAAUACCAGGAAAAUAAAGAGCUUUCAUAUGGAGAUAAUUGCAGUUGCAGUAAGAAGGGUCUAAAAUCUAAAAGGUGAACAUGAUUCGUAUGUACGCGGUUUACGAGUGCGUGAAGAAUAGUGGGGUGCAGUGAUGCGCGGAGCGGCCACUCCGCAGCGCUCCCCUUUCAGUAGGAACACAGAAUAAGGGGACCCCAAGAACUGGCCUGCCCCACGAUCAACCACCUAACACGUCAUUUCUCGGGACUAACAAGAGAUAUCGAGGUUCCUCGUUCUGUUUCAUCGACUUCCAUUGAGAGAUGUUUCUUAGAAAUGUGAUUACAGACACUAGCAUCAUCUUACACAACGUUGUGGACGAAAAUGCAGCUUAUGUAAGUAAUUGCAUGGUAGCAGAAAAUUUUCUUCAAAUGAUCGACCGAGUUAUGAAUGAAACUACGAGGGAUAACGGUUGGAUUGUCAACCUCCUAGCUCGAGAUGUUUGUCUGUUCAAUGGGGAGCCUUGCGGUGUAGAAACUGUUCGAGGAAUGCGUGUAAUGCGUAUACGUACACGUCACGCCUACUCAUCGUUGCUGUCACGUACGUGGCUCAUCGUCAUGUACGUGCUUCUCUACCUGCGUACGUAAGCUAGUACGAAUAUGUACACGUAUUGCGAGAACGCUUUACAUGUCAACCUCGAUAGUGUAUUUCUUCUUGGCCGUACAUCCGUGUCUUAUACUACUGACAAGGAAACGCACGUGCACGUCGAGACAGGAGCAUUAUUGCAUGGAUAAGGUGUAUCAUAAUAACACUCUCUAAUUGAUAUAUGAAUUG